GCAAUCUGCCCUGCACUCUGGGACAAGCCCUGGAAACGGGGUCUAAUACCGGAUACUGAACCUUGCAGGCAUCUGUGAGGGUCGAAAGCUCCGGCGGUGCAGGAUGAGCCCGCGGCCUAUCAGCUAGUUGGUGAGGUAAUGGCUCACCAAGGCGACGACGGGUAGCCGGCCUGAGAGGGCGACCGGCCACACUGGGACUGAGACACGGCCCAGACUCCUACGGGAGGCAGCAGUGGGGAAUAUUGCACAAUGGGCGAAAGCCUGAUGCAGCGACGCCGCGUGAGGGAUGACGGCCUUCGGGUUGUAAACCUCUUUCAGCAGGGAAGAAGCGAAAGUGACGGUACCUGCAGAAGAAGCGCCGGCUAACUACGUGCCAGCAGCCGCGGUAAUACGUAGGGCGCAAGCGUUGUCCGGAAUUAUUGGGCGUAAAGAGCUCGUAGGCGGCUUGUCACGUCGGUUGUGAAAGCCCGGGGCUUAACCCCGGGUCUGCAGUCGAUACGGGCAGGCUAGAGUUCGGUAGGGGAGAUCGGAAUUCCUGGUGUAGCGGUGAAAUGCGCAGAUAUCAGGAGGAACACCGGUGGCGAAGGCGGAUCUCUGGGCCGAUACUGACGCUGAGGAGCGAAAGCGUGGGGAGCGAACAGGAUUAGAUACCCUGGUAGUCCACGCCGUA
rnacentral:rRNA from 1 species